UAAGGAAUAUUGCUCAAUGGGAGAAAUCCUGAAGCAGCAACGCCGCGUGGAGGAUGAAGGGUCUAUGACUUGUAAACUCCUGUAAAGAAGGAAAAAGUACCCAUUUGAUGGGAGAUGCUGGUCCUUCUGGAGUAAGCCCCGGCUAACUACGUGCCAGCAGCCGCGGUAAUCCGUAGGGGGCACGCGUUGUCCGGAUUUACUGGGUGUACAGGGUGCUCAGGCGGAUUUGUAAGUCAGAGGUGAAAUCUUACAGCUUAACUGUGAAACGGCCUUUGAUACUGCAAGCCUAGAGUAUGGAAGAGAGUGAUGGAAUAUCUGGUGUAGCAGUGAAAUGCGUAGAUAUCAGAUAGAACACCAAUGGCGAAGGCAGUCACUUGGUCCAUUACUGACGCUAAAGCACGAAAGCGUGGGUAGCAAACA
rnacentral:rRNA from 1 species